CCUACGGGUGGCAGCAGUGAGGAAUAUUGGUCAAUGGGCGCGCGCCUGAACCAGCCAAGUCGCGUGAAGGAUGACUGCCCUACGGGUUGUAAACUUCUUUUAUAAAGGAAUAAAGUGAGGCACGUGUGCCUUUUUGUAUGUACUUUAUGAAUAAGGAUCGGCUAACUCCGUGCCAGCAGCCGCGGUAAUACGGAGGAUCCGAGCGUUAUCCGGAUUUAUUGGGUUUAAAGGGAGUGUAAAUGGGUUGUCAAGGCAGUUGUGAAAUUUUGCGGCUCAACCGUAAAAUUGCAAUUGAUACUGGCAGUCUUGAGUAGAGUUGAGGUAGGCGGAAUUCGUGGUGUAGCGGUGAAAUGCUUAGAUAUCACGAAGAACUCCGAUUGCGAAGGCAGCUUACUAAACUGCCACUGACAUUGAUGCUCGAAAGUGUGGGUAUCAAACAGGAUUAGAUACCCUAGUAGUC
rnacentral:rRNA from 1 species